rnacentral:rRNA from 1 species
AUUGAACGCUGGCGGCAGGCCUAACACAUGCAAGUCGAACGGUAGCACAGAGAGCUUGCUCUCGGGUGACGAGUGGCGGACGGGUGAGUAAUGUCUGGGAAACUGCCCGAUGGAGGGGGAUAACUACUGGAAACGGUAGCUAAUACCGCAUAACGUCGCAAGACCAAAGUGGGGGACCUUCGGGCCUCACACCAUCGGAUGUGCCCAGAUGGGAUUAGCUAGUAGGUGGGAUAAUGGCUCACCUAGGCGACGACCCCUAGCUGGUCUGAGAGGAUGACCAGCCACACUGGAACUGAGACACGGUCCAGACUCCUACGGGAGGCAGCAGUGGGGAAUAUUGCACAAUGGGCGCAAGCCUGAUGCAGCCAUGCCGCGUGUAUGAAGAAGGCCUUCGGGUUGUAAAGUACUUUCAGCGGGGAGGAAGGCGGUGAAGUUAAUAGCUUCACCGAUUGACGUUACCCGCAGAAGAAGCACCGGCUAACUCCGUGCCAGCAGCCGCCGUAA